rnacentral:lncRNA from 1 species
GUGUUUACUACCAUUACUGUAACAGUGACCUGCUCAUAAUUUUUCGUGUUCACUCAAAUGUUGAAAUUAAACAAAAUGUUUUUGUUACUUGCCUCUUGCAUUGCCUAUUUACCAUUUAUGGUCAUGUUAUUUUAUGUGCAAUUUAAUGCAGUAUUUUUCAACCUUGGUCCGCAAGGCAGCAUGCCAAUAGUCAGACACACCUGGAUUAAUCAGUUUGUCCAAUGAUGUAAGACAGGAAAUAAAAGAGCUUGCUUAAUUCAGGAAAUAGUGGAGUUGUGCACAAAGCUCAGAAAGCACAAGUUUGUUUAAAAAUAAAAAAUAGCACAGCCCCACCAAAAAUAUUUUUCACCAGCCGCCACUGAAUUUCACCACACACCUGUGUGUGUGUGUGACGACUAAAUGGGACUUUAAUCUUUAAGAAGAAGAAGAAGAGAAAAAUUCAUUUUAUUUAUUCGCGAUACCUUGAUGAAAAAAAAGAUAAAACUGUUUUCUUGGUCCCGAUCCACACUCCGUUCCAGUUGGUGGCGCUGUUGCACCUCAGCUUUACUUUCCAACCGUCAUUAAACAAAACAAAGAAGGAAGACGAAACCGAGGCGACGGAGCAACGCCACGAAAAUCAAAACAGCUAUCAUGGCGUACCACAAAUUCCGGUGGACCUCAGAGAUGGAAGACCAGCUCGUCGGUUUGUGGCAACAACGUGAAUGUUUGUACAAGGUUUCGUGUAGAACAUACCAUAACCGAAACGACAAGGAGCGGAGUUGGGCAGAAAUCGCGUCUGCACUUGAUAUACCUGUGGAGGAAGUAAAGAUGCGGGCCACUAGUUUAAGAACUCAGUACAGCAAGAUUCUGAAAGUUAACCCCAGUGGGAGUGGAGAGAAGACCCUGACCAACAAACAAAGAUGGAUCAUGAAAUCAUUGAUGUUUCUGAAGAAAUAUGUCACCCAGCGUGCCACUGAGAGCACCCUUUAUCAGCCAACUAAAGAUGCCAUGGCUGCAGAGAGGGAACCCUUGAGCGAUCCAGAUGAUGACGUCUCACAGAUGUCUGAGGAAACAUCUGUGGAGGAGCAGUCCAUUCCACUAAAUGAUGACGAAGACUUUUCUCCUUACGUGUCUCCUCCGCGUCCAGCUAAGAAGCCGAAGAAAAGCCAGACUGAACCAAAAGCUGACGCCAUUGAAAUGGAAAAAUUGAAAAUUUUACAGCAGAUGGCGACGGCGUUUCAGGCUGGUAGAAGCAGACCGAGCAGUGCCAACAGCGACAGCAACUUUGGAGCACAAGUAGCAGAGGAGUUGAGGUUAAUCAAAAACCCUUUAAUAAAAACAAGACUAAAGCGAAAAAUAAUGAAUGAUUUAUAUGAGGCUCAGGAGAAUGAUGACAUCGAUGCACGGCCAUCGAACUCGUACCAGCUGCCACCCACAUACCCCGUACCCACCUCUCUACAUAUAACCAACACACAACCACACCCCCUAAACACAUACACAACUCCACAUGCACCACCUCAACACACUCCUCCACCCUUGACACAUACACAGCUGCUACCAAAUCACCAGCUUCAAAAUAACGAUCAGAUAUGUUGCAUAAAGCUAGAAGACGAUGACUGA